rnacentral:rRNA from 1 species
UAAAAAAAAAGUCGUAACAAGGUUCCGUAGGUGAACCUGCGGAAGGAUCAUUA